AAUCUCAAUUUAUCCAUUGAUUCACGAAAUCAUCUUUCUCUUCUUUAUACCUCUUCGACUAAUUUCUUGGUGAUUUCUUCUUUCGUGAUCCAUAAGGGUUUAGUAGAUCCAUCUCUCCCUCUCUCGCAAGUUCCAAAAUUUCUUUGUCUUCAGGGAAAAAUGCAGAAAUCAAUUGAAUAUCUUGUAAACAUGGGCACAAUUACAGAUACUGAUCUGGUGCGGGGAUGCUUUAGCUAAACCUUU
rnacentral:lncRNA from 1 species